GCCAGGCACGGUGGCGCAUGCCUCUAGUCCCAGUUACUCGGAAGGCUGAGGUAGGAGGAUCGCUUGAGCUCCAGAAUUCUGGGCCGUUGUUCGCUAUGCUGAUCGGUGUCCGCACUAAGUUCGGCAUCAAUAUGGUGACCUUCCGGGAGCGGGGGACCACCAGGUUGCCUAAGGAAGGGUGAACCCGCCCAGGUCGGAAACAGAGCAGGUCAAAACUCCAGUGCUGAUCAGCAGUGCGAUCGCGCCUGUAAAAAGCCACUGCACUCCAGCCUCAGCAACAAAGCGAGACGAGUCUCCU
ensembl:misc_RNA Metazoa_SRP Metazoan signal recognition particle RNA